UAUAUAAAUCAGUUAAAUAUUAACUUGCUUUUGGGCACUGCAUUUGCUUUAGCUCAGGAAAACUUCUUGAGCUGAGCAGAUAACUUCGGGUCUCUCCAUAAAUAGCAGAAAUCACUCUUAAAAAAAGGGGAAAAAGGUAGCAUUUUGAAGCUUUAGGUAUUAAAAAAAAACACCUGGCUUUUUCUGGGUUUGUUCUUAUUUUGUGGUUUUUUUUUUUAACCUCUGCUCUUGUCCCCCCUGGCAGGGAAUUCUCCGACCUCGUUGAAGUUUCGGCGCAGAUCAACCAUCGGCUUACGGGGCUCCCCGGAGAACAACUCCCUGAUCAGGUACCUGGCCCAGCAGAGGAGCAAGAGGCAAAAAGAAGCUUUUACACAGAUCAGUCCUUUUAAACAUGUGAAUGUCAGGUCGUUGAAGGACAAGAUUGAAACCUUUCAAACAUCUUUUGAAUCCCUCCAAGAAGCUGAAGGGGAAACUGGGCUCUCUGGGCUGUCCCACGGGGAUGAUUCUCAGGAAGGAGGCUCUUCUCAGAACAAAGUGCCUUUUAAAAAGGAGCCAAACCUGGAGCAGUGGAGUGAAAAGUUCCUGUUGGACAACAGUGGAGCUGAUUUGAAAGAGAAUUUUUGCAGGGAAAAUGUGACCAGGAGCAGUAAAUGUGACCUCAGGAUCUGCAGCAUCUUGUCUCCAAACCCAGCUGUGACUGAACCUGCUGCUCCAAAGGUACUCAGAAUUAAGAGGAAACUUCUAAUUUAGUGAUUAAAAUAUCUUUUUCGUGCCUUAUGUUUUCAUUUGUGCUGUCUAAUCCUUUUAAACAUUUAGUUUUGGGGAAAAUAAAUCCAACUAAAGAGAAAACA
rnacentral:lncRNA from 1 species